rnacentral:rRNA from 1 species
UACGUAGGGAGCAAGCGUUGUCCGGAAUCAUUGAGCGUAAAGCGCGCGUAGGUGGCCUCGUAAGUCCGCUGUGAAAGUCAAAGGCUCAACCUUUGAAAGCCGGUGGAUACUGUGGGGCUAGAGUACGGAAGAGGCGAGUGGAAUUCCUGGUGUAGCGGUGGAAUGCGCAGAUAUCAGGAGGAACACCAAUAGCGAAGGCAGCUCGCUGGGACGUUACUGACACUGAGGCGCGAAAGCGUGGGGAGCGAACAGG